UUUUGUGUGUUUGUUUGUGUCUUAGGGUACCUUCCAACACAAAUAAUGAGGAUUUGGUUUUUAAUUGCAUGACUGUUAAAGAAAGUUAUAAACAUGGAUGGAAGUUUGAUAUGCUCUUGAUUUAUGCUUGGUUAUAGUUAUAGUUUUACGAAUUCACAUGUAAUCACAAAGAAAAAAAUCAGUUUUUGUAACAUGCUUGAAGGAAGGAACUCAAACUAACACUACAACCUUGAGAGACUUGAGCCUAAUACGUUCUUUGGAGAGUUAUUAAUUUGUGCAUUUUUGUUUUCUAAAGUCGUUGCAUGAUCUCAUCAUUCUUUGCUUGGUUGCUACUUAGAAGGCGUUUCAUCAUUUAGUUCCAAAUACUAGAACUUAUGCCCGUUCCAUUCAAAGCAUGACAUUGAUUUGCAUAACACAUAUUCAAGAUGAAGUUGUGUAGUGAACUAGAGCCAAAAAGCUUAUCCCGUGCAUAUUUGUUUAAGUUUAACCCCGUUGAGCCUUUUUAGCCUGUUUUCUUUGUUAAACCACAUUUCCCUUACCUAGCCUAGAAUAGGACCAUCCAUGCCUUUGUUAUUAAAGCGUAAUGAAGCAUGACUUAAAAUGAAUUCCUUUUGAUUGUCCUUAUGCAGAAAACAAGUGUGGGGGAAUGAGAUUUUUGUGUUUUGUGUGCCAAAAGAAAGUAAUAAAGCACGGGUUAGAAAAGAAAAAGAAAAAAAAAAAAGAAAAGAAAAGAAAAAGAGUUUGAAAUAAGUGAGGAAAGGCUCACAAGUGUUGUUUGUAGUUGAAAUCGGCCCUAAAAAGUUGAAUGAAUAACCCCAUUGUGUUUAAAGUUAGUUGCUGCAUUCAAAGGGAAUUCUAAGCAUCAAUUUCAUUACUUUGCUUAUUAUGCUUUAAAAACGUUUGUUUCCUUACCUUUCAUUGUUAGCCAAUCACCCCUAACCCCGUUACAACCCUUAACUUCAAUCUUGAGUGUUAUGUGUUUCAAUAUGUGGAGUUUGGGAUUGGUACGAGCAUAUGGUGUCCCUGGUUCUCGCAUCUAAGUAGUAGCAUUCCAGUCAUGAGAUCAUAUCUAUACAUGCUUAAUAACUCCAGAAAUUACUUUCUUUGCUAUAAACAUAUGUGAGUGUUCGUUUUCAUGUUUACAUCAAUCUUCUCACAUACACCUAGUGUAGGGUGAGUAGUCAGAAAAUCAGAGUGAAAAUAAGAGUGUAUCUUGUAAGGAAUUGAGCAAAUUCUCUAAGGCAUGUUACUACAUUCAAAACAUCGUUUUAAUUGGUUAUAUGUGGACUAGUAUGUGGUAACUAUGAUUAAGUAUGUGCUCAAGGGUAGGGAAGGCCAAAAUAUGUGGUUAUGAUGAUCUUUUGCAUGUCAUGUUGCAUUGAAAAUCCCUAAGGUAAAUGUUGGAAGGUUUAGGUUUUGUUUUGUUCUUAUGUUUUGUUUCUUUGUUUUGCUCGAGGACUAGCAAAAGCUAAGUGUGGGGGAAUUUGAUAGGAGCAUAUUUAUGCGACUUAGUAUGUUUGUUUUCGUGUAUUUAUGUUCUUAGUUCUUAGUUAUGUUAGUAGUUUAAGCCAUUUUUGUGUGUUUGUAGGUUCUUUGGGCCAAGGAUGCAAGAAGGUGCAUUUUGGAGCACUUUGGAGCAUUUUUGGGCCAAGAUUGGAUGGUGCAAACAUGGAGACAUGAGGAUGGACGAAUUUGAUGAUUCAAAGGGCUAGAAAUCUGCAUGUGUGUGUGCAAAGUGUUGGCCUACAACUUCAAACAUCAUAGCUGCCAUGUGAUGGCAGAAAAUGUGUUUAUUGCUAGCUAAAUGGAUGAAGAACAUGCAUGUGCAAGUAUAAACACCACAUGGGCAGCAAGAAGGAAAGAAAACAGCAACACACACACCACAUGGGCAGCAAGGAAUCAGAAAUUAAAGAAUGGAAGAGUGGGAAGUGAUAUGACAACACAAACACACACCACACGGCAAAUGGAAAUGGAGUUGGCAGAUUUCUACAACUUUGGUAGUGAAUGGACAGCAAGGAAUGGCAGAAAUUGGACCACUAUGAGGUGGAUUUCUGGUUGGUCUUCCACUUAUAACUUUGGGUGGCUUUGGAAUGAUUGUUUCUAGGUGGAAAGAGCACAAAAACAGCACACACACAUGCAAAAAACAAAGCUGGCAGCAUCCUUUCUUCUUUGCCGUGAGUUGUCAUGUCCAUUGCCUUGCAAUUCUUUUCAUUUCCAACCUCUAUUUAAGCACCAUUCAACCUUCAAGGAAGGCACACAGAAAUUCAUACACAUUUACAUUAGUUCCAAGGCUUGCAAAGAAGGAGGAGUGCUUGGAG
rnacentral:lncRNA from 1 species